rnacentral:misc_RNA from 1 species
CCUCCUUAUACGAUUUAGAACUUAUUUGUUCGUAGUGUCCACACAGAUGAUUGUUAGUUAGUUUGCUCUUUGAGUUUACUAAUUAAUAUGCUCUUUAAAAAUUUGGAAAAGCUGAUAAUAAAAUUCGUAUGAAUGACAUUUGUUAUUUGUACAGAGUUUUCAAAAGUAAAAAAGAAUGAUAGCAGUAUCAUUCUGUGCCAAUUUAAUCUUCGGAUUAAUUGGUAUCUACUUUAGUAUUCAAUAUUAACUUCUGGCGAAGUUAAACUGUCACAAAACAAAGACCCGUUUGGGUUGUAUGGUUAAGUGACUAAGCGUACACGGUGGAUGC